rnacentral:rRNA from 1 species
GACGAACGCUGGCGGCGUGCUUAACACAUGCAAGUCGAACGAGAUCCAUUCAGUAGCAAUACUGAUGAAGAUCUAGUGGCGAACGGGUGCGUAACACGUGAGGAACUUGUCCCGGUCUCUGGGAUAACAGUUGGAAACGACUGCUAAUACCGGAUGACGUCGGAACUUCGCAUGGAGUACUGACGAAAGGGUUACUGGAUCGGGAGAGCCUCGCGGCCUAUCAGCUUGUUGGUGGGGUAAUGGCCUACCAAGGCAUCGACGGGUAGCUGGUCUGAGAGGAUGAUCAGCCACACUGGGACUGAGACACGGCCCAGACUCCUACGGGAGGCAGCAGUGGGGAAUCUUGCACAAUGGGCGAAAGCCUGAUGCAGCAACGCCGCGUGCGGGAAGAA